GGCCUUAUCCAUCCAAUUCGACCGGAUGAUGGGAGCUGCUUCCCUGAUUUCAGCGCCGGACCGGUGAAUUACCCCGUGGUUAACCUGCCUUUAAGCCUGGGAUACUUCCGGGAACCCGGGGCUAUUACCGGAUAAUCCAUUUCUUCCCAGGAGGAAAUGUGGAAAGAGGCUUUCGGCUAUCACUUACAGAUGGACCCGCGGCGCAUUAGCUAGUUGGGGAGGUAACGGCUCACCAAGGCAACGAUGCGUAGCCGACCUGAGAGGGUGAUCGGCCACACUGGGACUGAGACACGGCCCAGACUCCUACGGGAGGCAGCAGUAGGGAAUCUUCCGCAAUGGACGAAAGUCUGACGGAGCAACGCCGCGUGAGUGAUGAAGGUUUUCGGAUCGUAAAGCUUCUGUUGNUAGGGAAGNAACNAAGUGCCGUUCGAAUAGGGCGGCACCUUGACCGGUACCUAACCAGAAAGCCAC
rnacentral:rRNA from 1 species